rnacentral:SRP_RNA from 1 species
GCCGGGCAUGGUGCCGCGUGCCUGUAGUUCCAGCUACUUGGGAAGCUGAGGCUGGAGGAUCGCUUGAGUCCAGGAGUUCUGGGAUGUAGUGUGCUAUGCGACUCGAUUGUCUGCACUAAGUUCGGCAUCAAUAUGGUGACCUCCCAGGAGCGGGGGACCACCAGGUUGCCUAAGGAGGGGUGAACCAGCCCAGGUUGGAAAUGGAGCAGGUCAAAACUCCUGUGCUGAUCAGUACUGGGAUGGCACCUGUAAAUAGCCACUGCACGCCAGCCUGGGCAACAUAGUGAGACCCCAUCUCU